rfam:Dipodomys ordii contig_88080, whole genome shotgun sequence.
GGUGGCUCAGUGGUAGAGUGCUUGCCUUGCAUGCACGAGGUCCUGGGUUCGAUUCCUCAGCACCA